rnacentral:hammerhead_ribozyme from 1 species
GCACUGCUGACGAGUCCCGAACAGGACGAAACAGCUGUCCAAUGC